AUUGAACGCUGGCGGCAUGCUUUACACAUGCAAGUCGAACGGUAACGGGGAGCUUGCUCCGCUGACGAGUGGCGAACGGGUGAGUAAUGCAUCGGAACGUACCCAGUCGUGGGGGAUAACGUAGCGAAAGUUACGCUAAUACCGCAUACGUCCUGAGGGAGAAAGCGGGGGACCGUAAGGCCUCGCGCGAUUGGAGCGGCCGAUGUCGGAUUAGCUAGUUGGUGGGGUAAAGGCCUACCAAGGCGACGAUCCGUAGCGGGUCUGAGAGGAUGAUCCGCCACACUGGGACUGAGACACGGCCCAGACUCCUACGGGAGGCAGCAGUGGGGAAUUUUGGACAAUGGGGGCAACCCUGAUCCAGCCAUGCCGCGUGAGUGAAGAAGGCCUUCGGGUUGUAAAGCUCUUUCAGACGGAAAGAAAACGCAUCGGUGAAUACCCGGUGUGGAUGACGGUACCGUAAGAAGAAGCACCGGCUAACUACGUGCCAGCAGCCGCGGUAAACGUAGCGUG
rnacentral:rRNA from 1 species